rnacentral:sRNA from 1 species
GGGGCAAUGGAGUUACGCUCUAUACCCUUUGUGACAUACCUAUAACUGUUGCUUCGGCGGGUAGGGUCUCCGCGACCCUCCCGGCCUCCCGCCUCCGGGCGGGUCGGCGCCCGCCGGAGGAUAACCAAACUCUGAUUUAACGACGUUUCUUCUGAGUGGUACAAGCAAAUAAUCAAAACUUUUAACAACGGAUCUCUUGGUUCUGGCAUCGAUGAAGAACGCAGCGAAAUGCGAUAAGUAAUGUGAAUUGCAGAAUUCAGUGAAUCAUCGAAUCUUUGAACGCACAUUGCGCCCGCCAGCAUUCUGGCGGGCAUGCCUGUUCGAGCGUCAUUUCAACCCUCAAGCUCUGCUUGGUGUUGGGGCCCUACAGCUGAUGUAGGCCCUCAAAGGUAGUGGCGGACCCUCCCGGAGCCUCCUUUGCGUAGUAACUUUACGUCUCGCACUGGGAUCCGGAGGGACUCUUGCCGUAAAACCCCCCAAUUUUCCAAAGGUUGACCUCGGAUCAGGUAGGAAUACCCGCUGAACUUAAGCAUAUCAAUAAGCCGGAGGAAA